UUGAACGCUGGCGGCAUGCCUUACACCUGCAAGUCGAACGGUAACAGGUCUUCGGAUGCUGACGAGUGGCGACCGGGUGAGUAAUACAUCGGAACGUGCCCGAUCGUGGGGGAUAACGGAGCGAAAGCUUUGCUAAUACCGCAUACGAUCUGCGGAUGAAAGCAGGGGACCGCAAGGCCUUGCGCGGACGGAGCGGCCGAUGGCAGAUUAGGUAGUUGGUGGGAUAAAAGCUUACCAAGCCGACGAUCUGUAGCUGGUCUGAGAGGACGACCAGCCACACUGGGACUGGGACACGGCCCAGACUCCUACGGGAGGCAGCAGUGGGGAAUUUUGGACAAUGGGCGAAAGCCUGAUCCAGCCAUGCCGCGUGCAGGAUGAAGGCCUUCGGGUUGUAAACUGCUUUUGUACGGAACGAAAAGACUCUUUCUAAUAAAGAGGGUCCAUGACGGUACCGUAAGAAUAAGCACCGGCUAACUACGUG
rnacentral:rRNA from 1 species